rnacentral:snoRNA from 2 species
AUCCCAGAUAAGCUAAACGAGUUCUUACUCUGAUUCAUGGGAGGCCAAAAUCAAACACAGUGGAAGUUUCGCUGAGAAACCCAUUUUUUAUUCCAAUCGAUGGUGUUUCAUAGUAACUUAUCCAUACAUUU